ACUACUAUAAUACAAACCAUUCAUUAUAUGUAGACAAUAGCAGUAUUAGCAUUUCAAGUCAAGCUUUUCAGCCUUCAAUCUCAGCAGUUUUCUUGCAUUUUACAAUUAGAUUUUUCUAAUAACUGCACAGUUGUGGUUUGUGGUCUUACAGUGGUCUUCUCUCUUUUAUAGAAUGGAGAUGCCCAAAGCAGAAGGAUCGACAGAGGGAAUUCACUCCCUAGUAUGCUGGAACAAAAGAUUUACCCAUAUGAGAUGCUCCUUGUGACUCACCGAGGCAGAAACAAACUCCCUCCUGGUGUAGACAGGACAAGACUGGAGAGGCACCUGUCACCUGAGGAAUUCCAG